GAUGAACGCUGGCGGCGUGCCUAAUACAUGCAAGUCGAGCGCACUGACGAUAAGCUUGCUUCUCUUUGCUUCUCGUCGGUCGGCUUAUGAAUGCGUGGCUAACCUACCUGUAACACGUGGAUAACUUCGGCUAACCGGGGCUAAUACCUUUUGAUACUGUUACUCAUACCGUUUAAAACCUAAAACCGCAUUUGCUGGCACUUAUAGAUGGAUCCGCGCUGCAUUAUUUAGUUGGUCAGGUAACGGCUCACCAAUUCAUGGAUGCAUAGCCGACCUGAGAGGGUGAUCGGCCACACUGGAACUGAGACACGGUCCAGACUCCUACGGGAGGCAGCAGUAGGGAAUCUUCCACAAUGGGCGAAAGUCUGAUGGAGCAACGCCGCGUGAGUGAAGAAGGUCUUCGGAUCGUAAAACUCUGUUAUUAGAGAAGAACAUAUCUGUAAGUAACUGAGCAGGUAUUGACGGUAUCCAAUCAGAAAGCCACGGCUAACUACGUG
rnacentral:rRNA from 1 species